CCUACGGGAGGCAGCAGUGGGGAAUAUUGGGCAAUGGAGGAAACCCUGAUGCAGCAAUGCCGCGUGAGUGAUGAAGGUAAUUGGAUUGUAAAGCUCUUUUCUUUGGGAAGAAUAAAUGACGGUACCAAAGGAAUAAGCACCGGCUAACUACGUGCCAGCAGCCGCGGUAAUCCGUAGGGGGCAAGCGUUGUUCUGAAUGCCUGGGGGUAAAGGGUGUGUAGGGGGUGUGGUAAGUCAGAUGUGUAAUACCCAGGGCCGAACCCGGGUGCUGCAUCUGAAACUGGUAGACUUGAGUACUGGAGAGGAGAGUGGAAUUCCUAGUGUAGCGGUGGAAUGCGUAGAUAUUAGGAGGAACAUCAGUGGCGAAGGCGACUAACUGGACAGCAACUGACGCUGAGGCACGAAAGCGUGGGGAGCAAACAGGAUUAGAUACCCGGGUAGUC
rnacentral:rRNA from 1 species